CACAGUGAAGGAGAGCACUUUAGCAGUUUGGAAAUCAGUAGAAAAUAGACCAUAUUAUUGAGGAAAUUUUGUGAGAAGGAUUUGCUUCCAUGGCAAUAGAGAGUGUGCAAUACAGUUAAAUUCUAAGUGAGAGGGAAGUGAGAACACUGAAGGAAGAAUAAAGCUUAAAGAAAAGGAAAUCAAGAUAAAUUUGAUCAUAUGCAAAGAGAGAGUUUCGAGGUGACUUACAAUCGUAGAAGAGUUCGUAGUAAGGAAUUGGAGGAAAUAAUUCAUCAAGGAGGUAA